CACGUAGGGUGCGAGCGUUGUCCGGAAUUAUUGGGCGUAAAGAGCUUGUAGGUGGUUUGUCGCGUCUGCUGUGAAAAUCCGAGGCUCAACCUCGGACUUGCAGUGGGUACGGGCAGACUAGAGUGUGGUAGGGGAGACUGGAAUUCCUGGUGUAGCGGUGGAAUGCGCAGAUAUCAGGAGGAACACCGAUGGCGAAGGCAGGUCUCUGGGC
rnacentral:rRNA from 1 species